ACUCCUACGGGAGGCAGCAGUGGGGAAUAUUGCACAAUGGGCGCAAGCCUGAUGCAGCCAUGCCGCGUGUGUGAAGAAGGCCUUCGGGUUGUAAAGCACUUUCAGUUGUGAGGAAGGUGGUGUCGUUAAUAGCGGCAUCAUUUGACGUUAGCAACAGAAGAAGCACCGGCUAACUCCGUGCCAGCAGCCGCGGUAAUACGGAGGGUGCGAGCGUUAAUCGGAAUUACUGGGCGUAAAGCGCAUGCAGGUGGUUUGUUAAGUCAGAUGUGAAAGCCCGGGGCUCAACCUCGGAACUGCAUUUGAAACUGGCAGACUAGAGUACUGUAGAGGGGGUAGAAUUCAGGUGUAGCGGUGAAAUGCGUAGAGAUCUGAAGGAAUACCAGUGGCGAAGGCGGCCCCCUGGACAAGACUGACGCUCAGAUGCGAAAGCGUGGGGAGCAAACAGGAUUAGAUACCCUGGUAGC
rnacentral:rRNA from 1 species